GAUGAACGCUGGCGGCGUGCCUAAUACAUGCAAGUAGAACGCUGAAGGAAGGAGCUUGCUCUUUCCGGAUGAGUUGCGAACGGGUGAGUAACGCGUAGGUAACCUGCCUGGUAGCGGGGGAUAACUAUUGGAAACGAUAGCUAAUACCGCGUAACAGUAGAUGUUGCAUGAUAUCUACUUAAAAGGUGCAAUUGCACCACUACCAGAUGGACCUGCGUUGUAUUAGCUAGUUGGUGAGGUAACGGCUCACCAAGGCGACGAUACAUAGCCGGCCUGAGAGGGUGAUCGGCCACACUGGGAAUGGGACACGGCCCAGAAUCCUACGGGAGGCAGCAGUAGGGGAUCUUCGGCAAUGGACGGAAGGCUGACCGAGCAACGCCGGGUGAGUGAAGAAGGUUUUCGGAUCGUAAAGAUCUGUUGUAAGAGAAGAACGAGUGUGAGAGUGGAAAGUUCACACUGUGACGGUAUCUUACCAGAAAGGGACGGCUAACUACGUG
rnacentral:rRNA from 1 species